UGGACAGAUUAUUGUAUUCGACUGUAUUCACGACAUGAAAUAGGGGAUUACACUAUUUUUAAAACGGAAAGUGAAUCAAUUAACAUAAUAGACUCCU
rnacentral:pre_miRNA from 1 species